rnacentral:rRNA from 1 species
UACGAAGGGGGCUAGCGUUGCUCGGAAUAACUGGGCGUAAAGCGCACGUAGGCGGAUUUUUAAGUCAGGGGUGAAAUCCCAAGGCUCAACCUUGGAACUGCCUUUGAUACUGGGGAUCUCGAGUCCGGAAGAGGUGAGUGGAACUGCGAGUGUAGAGGUGAAAUUCGUAGAUAUUCGCAAGAACACCAGUGGCGAAGGCGGCUCACUGGUCCGGUACUGACGCUGAGGUGCGAAAGCGUGGGGAGCAAACAGG